AACGAACGCUGGCGGCGUGGAUUAGGCAUGCAAGUCGAACGAUCCCGCAAGGGAUAGUGGCAAAAGGGCGAGUAACACGUGGGUAACCUACCUCCGAAACCGGGAUAACUUUGCGAAAGCGAGGCUAAUACCGGAUAAGACCACGUUUCAUAAGAAAUGUGGUAAAAGGAAGCCUCUAUUUAUAAGCUACCAUUUGGAGAGGGGCCUGCGUCCUAUCAGCUAGUUGGUGAGGUAACGGCUCACCAAGGCAAUUGACGGGUAGCUGGUCUGAGAGGAUGGUCAGCCGCACUGGGACUGAGACACUGCCCAGACUCCUACGGGUGGCUG
rnacentral:rRNA from 1 species